AUUGAACGCUGGCGGCAGGCUUAACACAUGCAAGUCGAGCGGAGAGAGGUAGCUUGCUACUGAUCUUAGCGGCGGACGGGUGAGUAAUGCUUAGGAAUCUGCCUAUUAGUGGGGGACAACAUUUCGAAAGGAAUGCUAAUACCGCAUACGUCCUACGGGAGAAAGCAGGGGAUCUUCGGACCUUGCGCUAAUAGAUGAGCCUAAGUCGGAUUAGCUAGUUGGUGGGGUAAAGGCCUACCAGGGCGACGAUCUGUAGCGGGUCUGAGAGGAUGGUCCGCCACACUGGGACUGAGACACGGCCCAGACUCCUACGGGAGGCAGCAGUGGGGAAUAUUGGACAAUGGGCGGAAGCCUGAUCCAGCCAUGCCGCGUGUGUGAAGAAGGCCUUAUGGUUGUAAAGCACUUUAAGCGAGGAGGAGGCUACUUUAGUUAAUACCUAGAGAUAGUGGACGUUACUCGCAGAAUAAGCACCGGCUAACUCUGUGCCAGCCGCCGCCGUAA
rnacentral:rRNA from 1 species